CUGGUCCUGAAUCAACGUUGGCAGUUUUCUGAAGUGGUUGAUUUCAAGUAGGAAUCUAAAGUGAUGUCUUUCUAGGUCUGUUGGCCAUUUCAGAACUUUGGAAAUGAAAUGGUCAAUUGAUUAAAAGCAACAACU
ensembl:snoRNA small nucleolar RNA SNORA2/SNORA34 family